ensembl:lncRNA
AUGCAGGAUGAGAAAAGGAUCACAGCUUCCAUACCAUCCCAGCAGACAGCCACCUCCCUCCUGCAAGGAGGCCCUGAGACCAUCAUCCUUUCUCUUUUCCCAUCUACAAAAUUUCUGAGCCCUUGGACUGAAAAUUCAUAUUUCCUGGCAAAGAACAAAUACAUGAUAUGGUGCUCAAUCUCACGAGAAGUCUGGGAAAUACAAAUUAAGGCAACAAUGAAGUAUCCAUAUUCAACUACCAGCUUGAUCAAAGUUUACAGACCAGGAACAUGCUGUGCUAGUGCGGAAGUGGAAAACCCCUUCUCAUUCAUUGGUGAUGGGAGUUUGAACUGCUACAAACUUUUCAUAAAAAUGAUCUAGAAAAUUUUAUGUUAAGUGUAUUUUAUCACAAUUCUUAAAUGUGACAAUAAUAACAACAAAAUAAUUUAGCAGUAGUUAUUAUAAUUAAAUAUAUCCAAACACAUUGGCUCAUCUCCACCUCUCCAUCUUUGGGGAUCUAACAAAUAUAGAAAUCAAUACACUAGUACAUAACAACACAUGUUUUGAAAAAACCUUAACUGCAGCAUUGUAUGUGACAGGGUGGUAGGAGGCUAGCCAAAUACACUGAGGUAUAUCUAUACUAUGGAAAAGUUAUAUUGCUCGUUAACCUGGAAAAAUAUCCAUGAAAUACAUAGUUAAGUGAGAAAAAUGAGUGCAGAGUGUCUUAUAAACCACUGUGCUCAGUGGCUCAGAGCACAGACUUUGGAGCUAGGCUGAGGGACUUUGCAGCCUACAUUUUUAGCAGGUUCGACCAUACAUAAGGUUCUUAAUCUCUCCAAGGCUCAGUAUCCUCAUGUAUAAAAUGGAUAGAAAAAAAUGGGGACGAUACCAUCCAUAUUACAGGGUUUGAGUAAAUACUGACUAAAAAAGGAUGUAAAUCGAGUAUACAGAAAGCCACAAAGAAGGCAUUCAGUUAAUGCUAGUUCCCUUCUCCCUGUGCCUGUAAAGUGAAUCAGUUUUAGAGUUCUGCUUGACAGCCCUCACAAAGAGAAAGCCUGGGGACCAUCAACAAUAACUUGAUUCAAAAGAAAUGAGCAGUCUUGAGGUUAGAAGACAUGGCUUCAAACCUCUGGCCACUUGGUGAGUGUGCUACCUUCAGUAAGCUUGUGAUUGUUUUGAGCCUCAUUCCCUACCUCCUAGUGGUUUGUGUGAGAAUUAAAUCAGAUGCAUGCAUGUGCACAUACGUGUGUGUGUGCAUGUGCACAUGCAUGUGCUCCUGGCCCCAGAGGUGGUAUUCAAAACGUUAACACCUGGUAUUGCACAGAUACCACCCCCCCCCAAACUGGAAUGAUUCCUGACUGCUGGCAUGCCAUAGGUGCUCAGUAAGUAUGUUUUAGUUACUUUCUUUUUGUCAUUUAUUUUUAAAAAAAUGUUUGAAUAUUUAACAUAAGCCCAGUACUAUGCUUUCCUUGAUGGGAAAGGAUAAUUUGGAUACUGAACUAAGUAAAAGGUAAAUAAUUUUUAUGAAAAAUUGCAAUUAUUCCAAGUCAGUGCCCCACACCCAUCCACAGAAAAAUCAAACUGGAACAAAACUCUCAAGUUCUUUUUUUUUUUUAUUUUUUUUCCCAACGUUUUUAUUUAUUUUUGGGACAGAGAGAGACAGAGCAUGAACGGGGGAGGGGCAGAGAGAGAGGGAGACACAGAAUUGGAAACAGGCUCCAGGCUCCGAGCCAUCAGCCCAGAGCCUGACGCGGGGCUCGAACUCACGGACCGCGAGAUCGUGACCUGGCUGAAGUCGGACGCUUAACCAACUGCGCCACCCAGGCGCCCCAAAACUCUCAAGUUCUUAAUAGCAGCAUUAUUUUAGCUGUGAAGUUCCUGUCAUAAGAUGCCACUGCAACACAAACACAGAAAUCCGGAAAGAGGGGCUGUAUGCUAAGUUCACAGUCAAAGGAUGAGGAGGGGAAUGCUAGGAUGAGCUCACUGUGAUUGGCAAUGGGAAUGACACGCCGGCAGCUGCAGGCUCAGAGAGGCAGCCUCUACAACAAAGAGAGCAAAUGGACUCAGGUUUCCACAUCCCUUCUUUUCACUGGGCCUCUGUUUCCUCCUCACAGUAAAUGAGGGCACCAGGGGGCCACAUCACCUGCAAGGGCCCUUCUCUCCAGACACUGAGCUGGUCUGAGUUCCAGUCAAAUCUGUCUCAGAGUUCUUUUGAGGGUACGUUUUAAAGGGGUGAGGGCUGAGAACAAUGAAAUUCAGUGUGAAGUCACAGGAAGAGAGAGUCUGGAGUCUGACAGACCUGGAUUUGAACCAUUUUCACAAUGUUCAAACCAUCUCUCUCCAAAGAAUUAGAAGUUCUGCAGUCAGAAGGGAAAGUCUGCCACUCCAUGUGGGCGUAACAGGGCUCCUGAACUAAGCUAACAUUAAUGGAAUGUGCGGUGGCUGAAAAAGAACCACUACACUCCAAAAAAUAUUGUUUCACUAAAUUGGGAGUGAUUUUUUUCUUUAUGUACUGAGAAGUCUAGGGCAGUUGCAAUGGAAUCAAACUCCUGUUAUCCUUUUGGCCAGUCACCCUUAGGAUGAGUUUGUCACCUCAUGGUCAUGACAUAGCUGCUAGAACUUCAACCAGCAUGCAUAUAUUGUGCUGGAAGAAAGGGAGGCAGGGUGAUCAACUAACCCAGUGUGCCUAGAACUAUCUGGGCUGUAAGACUGAAAUGCCCAUGCCUCUGGAACCCUGACAAUCCCAGGCAAACCAAGACAGGUGGUCACCCCAAAGAGAGAACAAAAGCUAAAAAAGAAGCUGCCAGCUGGGUCUGUCCUGCCAUUUUAAAGAUCUUUCACAAAAGUGCUACUCAAACAACUUCUGCUCAUUGGCCAGAACAAGUGCACAUGGCCACCCACCUAAAGUGUUUCCUGGUAGGAAAAGAAAAGAUGAAUAUUGAACAGGCAGUCUCACACCUAGUUAGCCUGGAAUGGCACAGACCAUGGAACCCCAUAUUGUUCCUUAAUCCUAAAACUGUGAGCCCAAGAGCAUUCUUAGAGUUCUGUUGUAAGUACCUGCCAUAAGAGGCAAUGAUGACUCAAGAAUUUAGCAAAUCAGACCACAAUUUAGUUGAGAAUAGUUGGGGUGGGCCAUUCCAACUGUAACUGCCUGGAGGCUCCCUGUGGGCUCUAGAUCUCAUGGCCUCAUGUAAAAUGGCCCCAGCAAGGCAGUAGGAGCUGGUUUCCAAUGACUCCCCUCCAAUGAUUGUGCAUCUCUGUCUUGCAUCUAAGCUCCAGCAAGCAGAAGAAGGAAGAAAGAUGCACACUACUACCAGCACUGACAGGGCCCUGAUUAGGGAUUAAGCUUUCUCCAAUCCCAUCUCCACCCAACCACAGAGUGUCGUUUUGAAGAAUCAUUUGUGGUAAAUGAAGAGAGAGGAGCUAUAAGGGCAAGAAAUUGGUAGAAAAUAAUAGGAAAGAAGUGCUAUCGUUUGAUGAGGGUAAUAACCUUUCUAAACUAGUGUCCUACUGCAUUAGAUUUUCCAUGAAAUUAUUUAAAACAGCAGGGAAUCAAACAUCCCCACAUUAUUAACCUCUAGUGUGUGCUUACUGAAGAAAAUCCAAAGGAUAUUUAUGCGUCUCGUGCAGAGGUUGAACCUUAAUGUCACAGACUGAAGCAAUGAAGCUAUGGAAUCCUGCCUGCAUUGCCUUUUGUCGAUAACAGGAACCACAGCUGUAUUUCUUGCAUUGUGAACAUGCAAAAUUGUUCUUCAGCCUAUUGCGAUAAGCAGAAUGUCAGUCAUCACUUUCUAGCUUUUGGCAGCUUAUUACAUAAAAGAAUAGGUCUUAUUUGCAGCUGCUCCUCCCUUUUCAGGGAGCCUUGGUUGGGAGAAACACUAAAAAGUUGAUACACAAAGUACUGUAUUUUUUUUUUUUGAGACUCUUUCCUAUGAGGAAACACAAUGGCAGGAAAGCUUCACCACCAGAGCCGUGAUAUUGUUAUAAUAAACCAUUACACCACAUACA